UGCGUAGGCGGAAGAUUAAGUCAGUGAUGAAAUCCUGCAGCUCAACUGUAGAACUGUCAUUGAUACUGAUUUUCUUGAAUUCAGUUGAGGUAGGCGGAAUGUGUAAUGUAGCGGUGAAAUGCUUAGAUAUUACACAGAACACCAAUUGCGAAGGCAGCUAACUAAGCUGAGAUUGACGCUGAGGCACGAAAGCGUGGGGAGCGAACAGGAUUAGAUACCCUGGUAGUCC
rnacentral:rRNA from 1 species